rnacentral:rRNA from 1 species
AGAGUUUGAUCAUGGCUCAGGACGAACGCUGGCGGCGCGCUUAACACAUGCAUGUCGAGCGAGAACCGGCCUUCGGGCCGGGGAAAGCGGCGAACGGGUGAGUAACACGUGGGUAAUCUGCCCUCGGUACUGGGAUAGCCCGGGGAAACCCGGAUUAAUACCGGAUGGCCCUUUGAGUCCUCGGAUUCAAAGGAAAAGGUAGCUUCGGCCUCCGACCGAGGAUGAGCCCGCGGCGGAUUAGCUUGUUGGUGAGGUAACGGCCCACCAAGGCGACGAUCCGUAGCUGGUCUGAGAGGACGAUCAGCCACACUGGGACUGAGACACGGCCCAGACUCCUACGGGAGGCAGCAGUGGGGAAUCUUGCGCAAUGGGCGAAAGCCUGACGCAGCGACGCCGCGUGAGGGAAGAAGGCCUUCGGGUUGUAAACCUCUUUCAGGAGGGACGAAGCCACUCGGGUUAAUAGCCCAGAGGGUGACGGUACCUCCAGAAGAAGCCCCGGCUAACUACGUGCCAGCAGCCGCGGUAAUACGUAGGGGGCUAGCGUUGUCCGGAUUUAUUGGGCGUAAAGAGCGUGUAGGCGGCCAGGUAGGUCCGUUGUGAAAACUGGAGGCUUAACCUCCAGCCGUCGAUGGAAACCAUCUGGCUAGAGUCCGGAAGAGGAGAGUGGAAUUCCUGGUGUAGCGGUGAAAUGCGCAGAUAUCAGGAAGAACACCCGUGGCGAAGGCGGCUCUCUGGGACGGUACUGACGCUGAGACGCGAAAGCGUGGGGAGCGAACAGGAUUAGAUACCCUGGUAGUCCACGCCGUAAACGAUGGGCGCUAGGUGUGGGCGGUGUCGACUCCGUCCGUGCCGAAGCUAACGCAUUAAGCGCCCGCCUGGGGAGUACGGCCGCAAGGCUAAAACUCAAAGGAAUUGACGGGGGCCCGCACAAGCAGCGGAGCAUGUGAUA